UACGAAGGGGGCUAGCGUUGCUCGGAAUCACUGGGCGCAAAGCGCACGUAGGCGGCUUCUCAAGUCAGGGGUGAAAUCCUGGAGCUCAACUCCAGAACUGCCUUUGAUACUGAGGAGCUCGAGUCCGGGAGAGGUGAGUGGAACUGCGAGUGUAGAGGUGAAAUUCGUAGAUAUUCGCAAGAACACCAGUGGCGAAGGCGGCUCACUGGCCCGGUACUGACGCUGAGGUGCGAAAGCGUGGGGAGCAAACAGG
rnacentral:rRNA from 1 species